CAGUCGCCGCGGUAAUACGUAGGGUGCAAGCGUUAAUCGGAAUUACUGGGCGUAAAGCGUGCGCAGGCGGUUAUAUAAGACAGAUGUGAAAUCCCCGGGCUCAACCUGGGAACUGCAUUUGUGACUGUAUAGCUAGAGUAAGGCAGAGGGGGAUGGAAUUCCGCGUGUAGCAGUGAAAUGCGUAGAUAUGCGGAGGAACACCGAUGGCGAAGGCAAUCCCCUGGGCCUGUACUGACGCUCAUGCACGAAAGCGUGGGGAGCAAACAGGAUUAGAUACCCCCGUAGUCCCUGUCUCUUAUAC
rnacentral:rRNA from 1 species